GAAAUGUUAGGAAUGCUAUCACGUAUGCUAGGGAUACUUUGACCCAAGAUAUUGUGACUGAUACUUUGAGGGCUAGGGAGCUAGAGCUUAAGAAAGAGUCGAGGGGUAGCUUGAGAGAAGAGAGUUUGUUUGCUAGAUGGAGGAAUGAGACGAGGGAGAACCAUUUUCAAAGUAAGAAGGGCAGAGGAAAAUCGAAGGGUAGGUCUAAGUCUAGAGAUAAGAGUGGUAAGAAAUGCUUCCAUUGUGGCAAGUUAGGACAUUUCAAGAAAGACUGUAAUGACUUUAAAAGGAAACAAAGACCGCAGCAAAAUGAUGAUCAGAACUUAGUUGCUGUAAGUGAUUCCCUCAAUUGCAUACAUGUUAUGACAGUGUCAGGAGAUUUUGACACCGAGUUAAAUGGUGC
rnacentral:lncRNA from 1 species